ACGAGAUCCUGAGCUUCUCAGCGUGAAACAACACCCGCUCCGCCUUCCUCUACUGACUUCCAUCUCUGCGCAACGUCAGACACGUUGGAGUUUGACAUUUUCCAACCCGGCUGGGUCACCGAAUGCGCUGAGCAGGACGGGAGGGAGACGGGCUGCAUCUACAGUUGGGGUCGUACAGGCGAUGAAAGUUCGGAUUUGUCACCACAUUUUUGGCGGACGAUUCUGCACCUUGCAUCCGAAAUUUAACGGGGGCGUCGAUGGAAGGUGUCCUUUCAAAGUGCUCGGGUAUGAAAAAGAGCCUUCUGCCAUUGAGAUGAACUGGGAAAACAACGACCGGAAUCUGAUGAUUUGAGCCGGAUCGGCCUUGACCAGCAACAAGUCGAAUGGAAAUGAAA